GAUGAACGCUGGCGGCGUGCUUAACACAUGCAAGUCGAACGGAAAGGCUCCUGCUUGCAGGGGUACUCGAGUGGCGAACGGGUGAGUAACACGUGGGUGAUCUGCCCUGCACUUCGGGAUAAGCUUGGGAAACUGGGUCUAAUACCGGAUAGGACCGCAUUUUGGAUGGUGUGGUGGAAAGUUUUUUCGGUGUGGGAUGAGCUCGCGGCCUAUCAGCUUGUUGGUGGGGUAAUAGCCUACCAAGGCGUCGACGGGUAGCCGGCCUGAGAGGGUGUACGGCCACAUUGGGACUGAGAUACGGCCCAGACUCCUACGGGAGGCAGCAGUGGGGAAUAUUGCACAAUGGGCGCAAGCCUGAUGCAGCGACGCCGCGUGGGGGAUGACGGCCUUCGGGUUGUAAACUCCUUUCGCUAGGGACGAAGAGUAAUUGACGGUACCUGGAGAAGAAGCACCGGCUAACUACGUG
rnacentral:rRNA from 1 species